rnacentral:rRNA from 1 species
GACAGAGGGUGCGAACGUUGUUCGGAAUUACUGGGCGUAAAGCGCGUGUAGGCUGUUCGGUAAGUCGGGUGUGAAAGCCCUGGGCUCAACCUAGGAAGUGCACUCGAAACUCCCGAACUGGAGUCCCGGAGAGGAAGGUGGAAUUCUCGGUGUAGAGGUGAAAUUCGUAGAUAUCGAGAGGAACAUCGGUGGCGAAGGCGGCCUUCUGGACGGUGACUGACGCUGAGACGCGAAAGCGUGGGGAGCAAACAGG